rnacentral:pre_miRNA from 1 species
UGGGCAUCCAUUUUUCCCAAAUUUCAGAACUGUUUUAGGUUGAACUUCUCUAAAUUUUCUUGAGAAUUUGGCCUCUGUCCAUGUCUAAUUAUUAAUUCCAAUAAUUGAGAUGGAUAGAGCCCAAAUUCUCAAGAGAAUUUGUAGAAGCAAA